AUUGAACGCUGGCGGCAUGCUUUACACAUGCCAGUCGAACGGUAACAGGCCGCAAGGUGCUGACGAGUGGCGAACGGGUGAGUAAUGCAUCGGAACGUGCCCAGUCGUGGGGGAUAACUACUCGAAAGAGUAGCUAAUACCGCAUACGAUCUAUGGAUGAAAGCGGGGGACCGUAAGGCCUCGCGCGAUUGGAGCGGCCGAUGUCAGAUUAGGUAGUUGGUGGGGUAAAGGCUCACCAAGCCAACGAUCUGUAGCUGGUCUGAGAGGACAACCAGCCACACUGGGACUGAGACACGGCCCAGACCCCUACGGGAGGCAGCAGUGGGGAAUUUUGGACAAUGGGCGCAAGCCUGAUCCAGCAAUGCCGCGUGCAGGAAGAAGGCCUUCGGGUUGUAAACUGCUUUUGUACGGAACGAAACGGCUCUGGUUAAUACCCGGGGCUAAUGACGGUACCGUAAGAAUAAGCACCGGCUAACUACGUG
rnacentral:rRNA from 1 species